rnacentral:rRNA from 1 species
UACAGAGGGGGCAAGCGUUGUUCGGAAUUACUGGGCGUAAAGGGCGCGUAGGCGGCCCGCUAAGUCGAACGUGAAAUCCCCGAGCUCAACUCGGGAACUGCGUCCGAUACUGGUGGGCUUGAAUCCGGGAGAGGGAUGCGGAAUUCCAGGUGUAGCGGUGAAAUGCGUAGAUAUCAAGAGGAACACCUGCGGCGAAGGCGGGUUGCUGGGCCGACACUGACGCUGAGGCGCGAAAGCUAGGGGAGCGAACGGG